rnacentral:rRNA from 1 species
GAUGAACGCUGGCGGCGUGCUUAACACAUGCAAGUCGAACGAGAAGUGGAGACGGAAACCUUCGGGCGGAAGACUUUACUUCGAGUGGCGGACGGGUGAGUAACGCGUGGGUAACCUGCCUCAUACAGGGGGAUAACAGUUGGAAACGACUGUUAAUACCGCAUAAGACCACAGCACCGCAUGGUGCGGGGGUAAAAACUCCGGUGGUAUGAGAUGGACCCGCGUUCGAUUAGCCAGUUGGCGGGGUAACGGCCCACCAAAGCGACGAUCGAUAGCCGAUCUGAGAGGAUGACCGGGCACAUUGGGACUAGGACACGGCCCAGACUCCUACGGGAGGCAGCAGUGGGGAAUAUUGCACAAUGGGGGAAACCCUGAUGCAGCGACGCCGCGUGAGUGAAGAAGUAUUUCGGUAUGUAAAGCUCUAUCAGCAGGGAAGAAAAUGACAGUACCUAAGUAAGAAGCCCCGGCUAACUACGUG